rnacentral:rRNA from 1 species
UACAGAGGGUGCGAGCGUUCAUCGGAAUUACUGGGCGUAAAGCGUGCGUAGACGGUAGCGUAAGUCAGAUGUGAAAGCCCCGGGCUCAACCUGGGAAUUGCAUUUGAGACUGCUCUGCUCGGGUGCGGAAGAGGGAAGCGGAAUUUCCGGUGUAGCGGUGAAAUGCGUAGAUAUCGGAAGGAACACCAGUGGCGAAAGCACUCUGCUGGGCCGACACUGACACUGAGAGACGAAAGCUAGGGGAGCGAAUGGG